UGUCGCUUCUGUACUGCAAACCAACCCGCGCUAUCUAUCCCAUCAUGCUCUCACGUUCAGAUUUCCCGCGCCAUUUUGUUAGAGCCGCCGCCGGUGUGCUUUUGUCUUUCUUCUGACGAAAAAUCUCAGUUUUUCACGAAAAAUGGCAGACAAGGAGGGCUCGAGCAGACGGGCGUAUUGCCGACCAAUGGCUGCUCAAUCGUCCGAGCAAGCUUUCGAUGAUGCAGUUGAGGAAAGGAUUAUCAACGAGGAGUACAAGAUCUGGAA